rnacentral:rRNA from 1 species
ACACGGUAGACGGUGACGACUACUAACGGCCUUCAGGAGUGACUAUGCGGGCAUGAGUAGCGAUAAACCGGGUGAGAAACCCGGUCGCCGUAAGUCCAAGGUUUCCUGGGGAAGGAUAAUCCUCCCAUGGGUUAGUCGAUUCCUAAGUCGAGGCCGAGAGGCGUAGGCGAUGGAAAGUAGGUUAAUAUUCCUACACCACCAAGGACGGCGUUGAUGUAAGCGGGGACGGAGAAGGAUAGCUCAGCAGGCUGCAUGGUUUGCCUGUUCAAGCCCGUAGGCUGAAUUGCUAGGACCCAAUAGGGACAAACGGCGAUUCAUUAAGGCCGAGAGGUGAUGAGGUCUAGCCCUAGGCUAGGACACUGAGUAAUUCCACGCUUCCUAGAAAAGCCGCGUACGGAGCCCCUUUGGUGAUCGUACUGCAAACCGACUCAGGUGGACGGGGUGAAUAUCCCAAGGCGCGUGAGAGAACCCUGGUUAAGGAACUCGGCAAAUUGACACCGUAACUUCGGGAGAAGGUGUGCCGCUGGCGGUUAGUGACUUCGCGUCACGAAGCUGUCGGUGGUCGCAGCGAAAUGGCGGUUGUGACUGUUUACUAAAAACACAGGACUCUGCGAAGUCGUAAGACGACGUAUAGGGUCUGAUGCCUGCCCGGUGCUGGAAGGUUAAGGGGAUAUGUCAGCGCAAGCGAAGCAUUGAACCGAAGCCCCAGUAAACGGCGGCCGUAACUAUAACGGUCCUAAGGUAGCGAAAUUCCUUGUCGGGUAAGUUCCGACCUGCACGAGGGCAUAACAACAUCCGCACUGUCUCGACCAGGGACUCAGCGAAAUUACAUUGGGGGUGAAGAUGCCCUCUACCCGCGGAAAGACGGAAAGACCCCAUGAACCUUUACUGCAACUUGGCAGUGAUUUUCGGGUUGUUCUGCGUAGGAUAGGUGGGAGGCUUUGAAGCCGGGCUUCCGGGUUCGGCAGAGCCAACGUUGAAAUACCACCCUGAAUAAUCUGGAAAUCUAACCUGCGCCCAUGAUCUGGGCGAGGGACACUGCCUGGUGGGCAGUUUGACUGGGGCGGUCGCCUCCUAAAUUGUAACGGAGGCGUGCGACGGUUCCCUCAGGCUGAUUGGAAACCAGCCGUAGAGUGCAAACGCAUAAGGGAGCUUUACUGCGAGACUGACAAGUCGAACAGUUGCGAAAGCAGGUGUUAGUGAUCCGGUGGUACCACAUGGAAGGGCCAUCGCUCAUCGGAUAAAAGGUACUCUGGGGAUAACAGGCUGAUCGCGCCUGAGAGUUCACAUCGGCGGCGCGGUUUGGCACCUCGAUGUCGGCUCAUCGCAUCCUGGGGCUGGAGCAGGUCCCAAGGGUUUGGCUGUUCGCCAAUUAAAGCGGUACGCGAGCUGGGUUUAAAACGUCGUGAGACAGUUUGGUCCCUAUCUUCCGUGGGCGCAGGACACUUGAGAGGAGCUAUCCAUAGUACGAGAGGACCUGGAUGGACGAACCUCUGGUGCUCCGGUUGUCACGCCAGUGGCAUAGCCGGGUAGCCAUGUUCGGAACAGGUAACCGCUGAAGGCAUAUAAGCGGGAAGCUGGCCUCAAGACUAGGUGUCCCUGACGCAAGACACUAAAGGUCCCUCGAAGACUACGAGGUUGAUAGGCUCGGUGUGGAAGCGCUGCGAGGCGUGGAGCUAACGAGUACUAAUAGGCCGUGCGACUUGA